GGGUUGUGAGGUUAAGUGACUAAGCGUACACGGUGGAUGCCCUGGCAGUCAGAGGCGAUGAAGGACGUGCUAAUCUGCGAUAAGCGUCGGUAAGGUGAUAUGAACCGUUAUAACCGGCGAUUUCCGAAUGGGGAAACCCAGUGUGUUUCGACACACUAUCAUUAACUGAAUCCAUAGGUUAAUGAGGCGAACCGGGGGAACUGAAACAUCUAAGUACCCCGAGGAAAAGAAAUCAACCGAGAUUCCCCCAGUAGCGGCGAGCGAACGGGGAGCAGCCCAGAGCCUGAAUCAGUGUGUGUGUUAGUGGAAGCGUCUGGAAAGGCGCGCGAUACAGGGUGACAGCCCCGUACA
rnacentral:rRNA from 1 species